rnacentral:rRNA from 1 species
AAACCGUUCAGGGGUAAACCUGAGAAACCCAAAAGAUCGAAUGGGGAGAUUCAGCGUCAACCGUUUGCGUGGCUUGCGUGUGGCUCGCGAUGUUGGGCGGCCCGGUAACACGGGUUCAGCUCGGCACGCGGUCGCUGCGUCAUGUCCGGCGCGGUAGGCGUGCACUUCUCCCCUAGUAGGACGUCGCGACCCGUUGGGUGUCGAUCUACGGCCCGCGAGGUCGCCUGCAGCGCCGUGCGUGUCAAAGCGCGCGCGCGUUGCAGACCCGCGGUCGCCCGAUCGACUGCCCGGCGGUAGAGAUCGCUCGAAUGUUGAAGGUACUGGGUCGCACGCUUUUUUGCGAUGCGUUCUGUUGUUGGCUCGCCGGCAGAUCGGCCUCGCUCGGAUUUACGGACCUAGUGCCGUUGUCGGGUGCUUGGCUGGUCGUUACGCCGUUUGCGAUGUCCUCGAACGGGCCCGCUAUUAAUACCGGUCAGCGACGCUACUGCUUUGGGUACUUUCAGGACCCGUCUUGAAACACGGACCAAGGAGUCUAACAUGUGCGCGAGUCAUUGGGACUUGAAACAAAGCCUAAAGGCGCAAUGAAAGUGAAGGUCCGCUUUGAUGCGCGACCGAGGGAGGAUGGCUCCCGCUACGACGCGGAGCCCGCACUCCCGGGGCGUCUCGUGCUCAUUGCGAGCUGAGGCGCACCCAGAGCGUACACGUUGGGACCCGAAAGAUGGUGAACUAUGCCUGGUCAGGACGAAGUCAGGGGAAACCCUGAUGGAGGUCCGUAGCGAUUCUGACGUGCAAAUCGAUCGUCGGAACUGGGUAUAGGGGCGAAAGACUAAUCGAACCAUC